rnacentral:rRNA from 1 species
GACGAACGCUGGCGGCGUGCUUAACACAUGCAAGUCGAACGGAAAGGCCCUGCUUUUGUGGGGUGCUCGAGUGGCGAGCGGGUGAGUAACACGUGUGUAACCCGCCCUUGUCUUUGGGAUAACUUCAGGAAACUGGGGAUAAUACCGGAUAGGAGCUCCUGCUGCAUGGUGGGGGUUGGAAAGUUUCGGCGGUUGGGGAUGGACUCGCGGCUUAUCAGCUUGUUGGUGGGGUAGUGGCUUACCAAGGCUUUGACGGGUAGCCGGCCUGGGAGGGGGACCGGCCACAUUGGGACUGAGAUACGGCCCAGACUCCAACGGGAGGCAGCGGGGGGGAAUAUUGCACAAUGGGCGGAAGCCUGAUGCGGCAACGCCGCGUGCGGGAUGACGGCCUUCGGGUGGUAAACCGCUUUCGCCUGUGACGAGGCGUGAGUGACGGUAAUGGGUAAAGAAGCACCGGCUAACUACGUG